UUUUUCAAUUGAUAACAUGAAUUAGUAUCAUGCCCUAUAUCAUUGUGGAAUUCGCAGUACUUGCUUCUAUCUCUUCGCCCUGUGUCAGGCAUCUUGGGUGGUGCUGGAAAUGUCUUUCCUAUUGUUUCUGUUAGCAGGAUUUCCCUUGGUGUCUUGGUCAUUUCUCUUCUUUUAUCUUCUCUAUUAUAGGGGGUGUAAUGGGCUUGGUUGUCUUUCCUUUCAUUCCAUUUACCUUUUGUGUUUCUUGAUAGGUCUUCACUGUUUGUUGAAAUUUCUUUUGUGUCCAGGAAUUUAUGCGCCCUUUAUUGUGCCUCGUCGUAUGUUUCAGCCAAAUAUGUGUUCAAACGUUCGACAAGCUCCCUACUUCGACAUCCAUGUAUUAAACCAGAUACUCUUUGGGAUUCUGGCACUCCGGGAAUUCCUUGGGUUUCACUAGUGUAUCGCUGGAUGAAGUCUCUUGUUGUUUUGUUCUCUCUUUGUCUGAUGUUGUGGACUGAGACAUGUGUCUUCUUAUGUUUCUUUUGUUGGCUAAAAUGAGAUUGGAAUUUUGAUCUAAGAUCAUCAAAGCUGUUUAUAGAUCCUUCUUGGAGGCUUGAUAGCCAUUCUCUUGCAUCGCUCAUGAGGCCCAUUCUGAAUGCUUUGCAUGCUACUGGCUCUAUCCAAUUUUGCAUUUCUGCUGCCCAUUCAAAGGCUUGAAGGAAAUCAUCGGGGUCGUCAUUCCCGUUAUACGUCCCCAGAUAGGAGGGGUAUUUCAUGUUUGCUGGUAAUGGAUAAUUUCUGAUCCAUUCUGCAAAUGGUGAUUUUUGUAAAGUUUUGCUCAAGGUAAAUGGUCUUGGCAUGAUAACUUGUCCUGGGUACAAAUUUUGAUUCCAGGGGUAUGCCGUGUAAAUGUUGGGUUGUGGUCCAGUGUUCUGAAUGGGUUGAAAAUAUUGUGGUUGUUCUAUGGACCAACAUUGAUAGCCUGAGUGGUAUGGACCCUUGGUAUUUGAGUGGCCUUGGUUGUGCGCUUCUCCUGUUCUGUUCUGAAACCCUGGGGUUGCUGGCUGGAAUCCUGGGUGUGUUUGUGUUCCUGGGUAAUUCGGAACCAUGGUACGUAUUGGAUGUGGGUAUUUCUUGUUUGCUGGCUUGAAUGCUUGGGAUAUUGGAUGUGGCUGCCAUGGUACGUAUCUCGCUGAACUUGCUUGAUUAUUCUGCAUGUAUUGCUCUUGUCCCCAGGCUUGGGAGGUUGGGACAUAAUGACCUUAGGGUCCAUUUAGGAAGGCUAAGGCACAUAGACCCUGGGUGUAGGUAUUUUGUUGCCCUUGUGAGUAAUUUUGGUGAUUUGGCGUAUUUUGAAAAUGAUUAUGUUGAUUAUGGGUAACGGUAGAUCCUGGGUUUUGUGUACCCAGGGUAUUGAUAUGGGAAUCUGGGGUUUGUGUUCCUGGGGUAUUGAUAUGAGAUCCUGGGGUUUGUAUUCCCAGAGUAUUGGUUUGAGAUCCUGGGGUUUGUGCUCCCAGGGUAUUGGUUUGAGAUCCUGGGGUUUGUGUUCCCAGGGUAUUGGUUUGAGAUCCUGGGGUUUGUGUUCCUACGGUAUUGGUUUGACAUCCUGGGGUUUGUGCUCCCAGGGUAUUCGUUUGAGAUCCCGGGGUUUGUGCUCCCAGGUAUUGGUUUGAGAUCCUGGGGUUUGUGUUCCCAGUGAUGAUGUAUCAUGGCUAUUGAAGGCUUCAUCGAAAUUGAUCGUCCUUCCGGUUAUCACCCCAGUUGUAUGAAGGUGACGUAGGGUAAUGAUGAUGCUGUCAUGAUUUUGGAGUAUAUAUGCCUCAUCGAACAAUGGUGUUGAAGUGGAGGCAAUGAUUGUUGUUCCUGAUGGAGGUGUUAUGAGUGUUCCUCCAACAUUUCUGUUGAGAUCUAUGCUUGCAUUGGUUUGGGCAGGGCCGGUUUGUGCGAUGUUGAAUCCGGGUGCUCCAUUUGAGUCAUCCAUGUUCUAGGAUUAGGGUUUUUGUGAAAGGAAAAAAAAACUUUCGUGAUUUUGGUGGUUGAUGGGUUGCAAGUGAGAUGCGUCCCGUGGAUGGCGCCAAUUAUUUGUACAACGAGGCGGGAUCCUAGAACGGAGAGGAUGAGGGGUUUAUGGUUGUAUGUUGGCGAUUCCCUUACGGCAAGAUGUGAGAACCUUUAGUACGCCAACUAUGUGUUGUAUGUGUGUUGAGAGUGCAGAGAAUGAAUCGAAUUGUGUGUAUUGUAUCCCCUUUUAUAGGGUGAAGAUGUCGUGUCCUCCAAGUAGGGUUUUCCCCUAUUGGAGUAGAUUGGUUGCCUGCUUUUGAGGAGAUUCGUAGCUAUCCAGCUUCUUAAGAGAUAAGUAUAAAUCUCGUUAUUGAUAGAAUGUGUAUCCUUUCCUUAAUAGUCGGAUCCAGGGUAGUCUGCGUGUAGGCUCCGUAGUGAGGCUGGGUGAGUAAUACCAACCGUUUGUACUCUUUUCAUUAAAGAGAUCUGGCAGGUAUUGGAGUGACAACUAAUGACAUUGGAGACAUUCCAUCUCUUUCCAUAUUGAUAUAUUUAGAUCUUUUCAACAACAGAGGGAUUAAAGCUGUUCUUCCACAAUCUAUACAGAAAUUGCAGAAUCUAACGACGCUUUUUAGGGGUCCAAUUCCAGAUUCAUUAGGCUCCCUCGAGAAGCUAGUCUAUUUGGGACUCAAUAAUAAUAGCUUCACUGGACCUAUGCCACCAUCCAUUGGUAGUUUAACUAAUCUAUCAUGGUUAGAUCUAAGCGAUAAUCAGCUUACAGGAUCCAUCCGUGUGUCUAAUGGAACAGCCUUAGGACUUGACAUGCUUCUGAAAGCUCCCACUUGUAUGUUAUAAUGUCUGUUGUAUCACAUUUAUGAGUAUAUCAUUAUUUUGAAGAGAUUUCUCGUCCUUGUAAGAUCAAUUUCUAAUAUAUUUUGGUCAUUAGGCAGUCAUUUGGCAAA